UUAAUGACUAAACAACGUAGUAGGGAUUACAAUUACAAAGUGAAAUACUAAGCGAACAGUGGAAUAUUUCGCGAAAUAGAGAAUCCUCUGAGCAAGUCUGAAGUGACUUAUCAACGCGGCUGCAGGAGAAGUUCUAACAGUCUUUCCCCCGCCAUGGUCCUUUGAAACCUCUUGAGGGGUGCACUUCUGGCUUAAAUCCCUAACAAUACCUGCAAACUGCUGACAUUCACAGCGGCCACAAUUGAACUAAUUAGUGCAAAAUAUGCAGACUUCACCUUGCUGUCGGAGGUGGGUGAUGGUAGACACCAGCUUAUUUUUUUUUUCUCAUGUUCAGCAUCACAGAGCUGCUACCAAUGCAGUGCUGUGGAGAAUGGUCGAAUUUAAUGUAUUCAAGUUACAGAAAAUACAAUGUUGUGUUUUUGCACUUCGUCUUCAGUGAUCCCGUGUUCAGGGCAUUUUGUUGUUGAUAUACUCAUUUAACCUUGCACAUCUGCUUUAACUGUUGUUUGAAUAUUGGCUGACACUGACUGGCAGUUGUAUUUCAAUAAUGCAAGUUGAAGGUUGUAUUUAUUAUGUGCUUUAAUCCUUUAGCUAAAUUAGUUUGCUUUUGGCUCUACCAUCAAACAUCAAUCCUCAUAUCUAGCCAAUCUAACUGUCGCCUAAAACAAACUUUUAAGACAUGUAGCUGUCCAUUUGUUUACUAAUUGAAGCUCCCCAUCUGCUACCUGUGAGCGAGUACAUUUGAAACGAUUGGAAUAGUAUAAAAUCACCACCCGUGUGUACUGUUGGUGAUCUUGAUGUGUGUCUUGUAAAUCGGCUUAGUAUGUUUUUUCGUUGAAAUCAUGUAAAGCUGACAAGUCAGUUGUUAUUGAAAACGGAACCAAGUCAAUAUCAUCAUAAUUAAAAGUUUGGGGGGCACAAAAAGGCAAAAAAGCGCUCUCCCUGGGACAAGAAAGCGCUGCACAGUUUUAGGUAUGAUGGCCCGAUGAAUGGAUAACAAAUGCUGCAGAGGCGGUCUGGACAGACGGUCAGUGAUCUUCCCGCGGGGAAAAUAGAAGAUAUUUUAGAGCAGAUUGCCUCACGCUGCCCACGCCGAGCUAAUUAUACAAACUAUCCAUGCGAGUCAUGUACAGCGGAAAUGUAUUAUCGCAAAGACCCAAUGUGAUAAUGUCCUAUUUAAAAGAAUGAUAAGAAAUAUUUGGUUUCACAGCUAAUGAGGAAAUUAUCCACCAUAAACAUACAUUAUCUGUAAUGUUUAAAUAUUAAAGACAUUUGUGUAUUUUUAUUAGCCUGCCUUUCUCAAUGUAAUCUCACCAUCUCCUCCGGAGAAUCAGAUUUCCUUUUUUCCUUUAACUCGUCCGUAAUGACGCAGAGCGCCUGUGUGUUCUGUCAUGAGGUGAGUCAUUAAGUACAGGAAGUCCGACCCCGACUCGCCCCGAGUCUUCCCAGACUUUACUUUGCGCUCAGCACCAGGUCGCCGACCGGCCGGCCGCACGGGGAAGGUUUAAAAAGUGCAAAUCGUCAAUCUCAACACACACAAACGAGCGCGGACAGAUCUCCUAACCCGAUGACCCCGAAGAGCAAGCAUACGCGGAAACUCCAAGGAAGACUACAGCCUUUGGUUUUCAACCUUACGGGUCAAGUGAAGCC
ensembl:lncRNA